GGCUACAUACCGGACUGGCAAGGCGCAAACUUGGUAAUUUUCAAGAAGGCGAGGAUCAAACACGGAAGGGUGGCAUGUAGUAUCUGCAACAAUAUGCAGCAAAGCAAUUGGUAGCCUGAGAUGCAUAAGUAAAGAAUCCUUACAAUUGCUUUUACAAUCAAUAAAACUGCCUUAACGCUUCCUGGGACCAGAGCACUACAACAGCUUCCUAUAAGAAGGCUUAAAUGAUAACAACUCCCAGCUAAUGAUGUACUGUUAAAAUAACCACCAGAGUAGAAACUGUGUGUCACAGUGUCACCUGCUCAAGAAAAGCAUGAUGCUGUGAAUGAACUCCCUAGGCACUUAGAACACCAUAAGCGGCAUAUGCAUUGGACCUCAUUUUCUGUUCCCAGAGAUCUGCAGCAGAGAAGUUACAGAAUGUGACGACCCUAGGCUGUGUGUAGGGUCAUCAUCUGAAAAAUACAGAAACAGACCGCAUGAGUGGAAAGGGAGAUGAUCUAAAAAAAUCUCGUGUGAAAAAAGGUAAUAUGCAAGAAAAGUAGGCACACAGACAACAAGUAACGUCAACCACCAGCUGAACUUACAGAAGGGUGUGUCAAGCUUCGUCGCCAUGAUUCCGCCGCCGCUUCCCCAGUAUAGGGUGAUCAUCUUUAGGUACAGAAUGGGGAGGGACGUGCGUUACAGCUGCAAGGGCAACAAGAUGGAAGGAGGAGGAAGACGGCCGGUGAUCGACGCCGACGGCGCGUGUGUCCGCCGCAGCCGCCAUGGAAGAACACUGCAGGACGCGACAUUAAAAAAGAGAUAAAAAGAUAGCCACCGUGGGGGCCUGCAGAGGGGGAGUGGAGGGCACAGAGGCAGAAGCAAACCUAGCUCGACGCCGAGACGGAUGACGGCGGCGGCAGGGCGUCGAGGAACAGAGGAGCAGUUCGCAGCUCGGGGAUGGAGAUUGCGUCGCCGAACGGAAACCUGGACGAAUCAUGAUAUGGGACUGGACUGGGCCUUCUACCUUACGGCCCGACUACGGACGGAAAC
rnacentral:lncRNA from 1 species